rnacentral:tRNA from 1 species
UAGCUCAGAUGGUAAAGCGUCUGCCUACAAUGUAGGAGACCCAGGUUCAAUCCCUGG